rnacentral:rRNA from 1 species
CCUCCUGGAAACGGGUGGUAAUGCCGGAUGCUCCGACUCCUCGCAUGGGGUGUCGGGAAAGAUUUCAUCGGUAUGGGAUGGGGUCGCGUCCUAUCAGGUAGUCGGCGGGGUAACGGCCCACCGAGCCUACGACGGGUAGCCGGCCUGAGAGGGCGACCGGCCACAUUGGGACUGAGAUACGGCCCAGACUCCUACGGGAGGCAGCAGUGGGGAAUAUUGCACAAUGGGCGCAAGCCUGAUGCAGCGACGCCGCGUGCGGGAUGACGGCCUUCGGGUUGUAAACCGCUUUUGAUCGGGAGCAAGCCUUCGGGUGAGUGUACCUUUCGAAUAAGCACCGGCUAACUACGUGCCAGCAGCCGCGGUAAUACGUAGGGUGCAAGCGUUAUCCGGAAUUAUUGGGCGUAAAGGGCUCGUAGGCGGUUCGUCGCGUCCGGUGUGAAAGUCCAUCGCUUAACGGUGGAUCUGCGCCGGGUACGGGCGGGCUGGAGUGCGGUAGGGGAGACUGGAAUUCCCGGUGUAACGGUGGAAUGUGUA